ensembl:snRNA
GUGUUGUAUGAAAGGGAAGAAGUUGAGCACUCCCCUUGACAAGGAUAGAAGAGUCCUCAAGCCUGACAAGUCUGACAGCAGGGCACUGCAGCUAGACCCCUGACCAGCUUCUCCCCCAACUCUUC